GACGAACGCUGGCGGCGUGCUUAACACAUGCAAGUCGAACGGAAAGGCCCUGCUUUUGUGGGGUGCUCGAGUGGCGAACGGGUGAGUAACACGUGAGUAACCUGCCCUUGACUUUGGGAUAACUUCAGGAAACUGGGGCUAAUACCGGAUAGGAGCUCCUGCUGCAUGGUGGGGGUUGGAAAGUUUCGGCGGUUGGGGAUGGACUCGCGGCUUAUCAGCUUGUUGGUGGGGUAGUGGCUUACCAAGGCUUUGACGGGUAGCCGGCCUGAGAGGGUGACCGGCCACAUUGGGACUGAGAGACGGCCCAGACUCCUACGGGAGGCAGCAGUGGGGAAUAUUGCACAAUGGGCGGAAGCCUGAUGCAGCAACGCCGCGUGCGGGAUGACGGCUUUCGGGUUGUAAACCGCUUUCGCAUGUGACGAAGCGGGAGUGACGGUAAUGGGUAAAGAAGCACCGGCUAACUACGUG
rnacentral:rRNA from 1 species